rnacentral:lncRNA from 1 species
ACUUAGUUGUAAGUUGCCAGUUUUACCAGUUUCUGCUUUAUUAAGAUUACUUUUUAUAAUUAUUUCAGUCUAUUUUUCCAUGUAUUAGAAAUCUUGCAAUAUUCUAAGUUUACAGGGCUAUAAUUUAAAUAUUUAAUUUACAUUAUAAUCUAUGAUUAUAAAAUCCAUUGUCAUACAAGGAAAGAUACCAUAAUUUAAUGACAGUUUCUUGAAAAUAUAUAUUUGUAUUUCGGGAUCAUCUAUUCCAUAAGGAUCAUCUAAUCUAUAAUGCUUUGAUAAUUAAGAAAUUUAAUGGGUCGCUGUUCGGACAAUAUUAAAUAAUUUUCCUCGUAACUUGAUAAUAAUGCCUGCAGUAUUUUGGGCACUACAAAGGUUGUGUAUUUUGUCUAGAACGCAUGUUUAACAUCAGAGAUAAGUGUCUGAUGCCUUACAUAUUGCUAUCUUUUUUGUUCGGUUGCAAUGAAAGAGAGAUGCAAUAUUUUAAAUUUCAUGGCUAUUAGUGGACAGUCCAUCAAUCUCUCAUCAAUGGAUGUGGUGUUGAUGUGCGUGCAGUUCAAGCUGAUUUUAAAGAAUCUUAUUGGAGAUUGUGACUGUAAAUAAAUAUUAAAAAAAAUUUAUGGUGUUUAUUUUUACUUCCUCCUAAUUCUUUUGUAAUUCUAUAAUAAAUAAAUAAAUAAAAUAAAAUAGUCUUUUAUUUAAAACAGCCUUUGGUAUACAUAAGAUAUGAGUUUAAAUGUUUAUAGUAUGUCUUGCUGUUCAUAGUGUCGUCUGACAUAGGCAUCCUCCAAUUGCUUCCACUGCACCCUGUCGGCCGCAACUUUGGUACAGCGAGGCCCAGAUUUUGGUUGAUGUUAUCAAUCCACAUUCUUUUUGGACAUCUACAUCGUCUGGUUCCAUAUUUUGGAUGCCAGAGUGUUAAUUGCUUGUUCCAUUUUUGUAUGUAUGAUAAGUAUGUAACAUAUGAUUUGUCCAAUGCCAUUUCAAUUGGUCAAUUUUUUGUGGUACAUUUACAAGUAAUUUUAAUAGUGAUAGUCCUUUACAAAACAAUUGUAAUAAGCUACAUCAAAGUAUUAUUGCUAUGACUUUUAAUUUUUAUUUACUUAAAUUAAGUAAUUAUCAUUAACUUCAUAUACAGUCAAAAGUAAAACUUCAAACCAGAUGUUAUAAUUUAUCUUUAAAAAAUUAACAUCAAAUGUGUUUAGUAGUAUUUGAUAGGUAUUAUACUUGAGUAUGGUAAUACAUAUUUGUUUUUGUUUUUAUUAAAGAGAAGUAACUAUAGUGGUCCCUAUGAGAAGAAAUACCAGAUGUAAACAAACUUAAUGCCUGUCUGUGAGCCUUGCAGCAGAUGAUAGCAAAUAAACAAGAUAGAAAGAGAUAGACAUACUUUGUUUAUUCCGUCCUGGUUUUACAUGACUGCUCCUGUUUACCUUUCUCCUUGAAAAUAGUAUACUGUAAUGUUAUUCCAAGCAUUUUUGAUUAGGUUGUUGUAUAAACUUUCAGAUCGUAUUGAAUACAUACCUACAAGGAAAGGUUAUUUAUUGAUGUUAGAUGGCUAUUCAUACUGGAAAGAUGCAAGAAGUAAAUCCAUAGUUCACUGGUACUGCUCUAAACGUCACCAGAGGUGCUUGGCAUUUAUCAAAAUGGAUAGAAAUCAAUGCAUAAUACAUGCUUCUUUGGAGCACACGCAUGGCCCUAACUUUUAUACUAAAGAUAAAAAUGGACAAUUAGUAAAAAUAUAAAUGUGACAAAAUGGAAAGGUUAUCAAUUAAUACCUACACAUCGGGGUAAGCAUUUACUGAUGAUACAUGGCCACACAUAUUCACAGAUGAAACACUCAAAUAAUUAUUAUUGUUCUAAAAAGCAGUCUGCUAACUGCAGAGCAAGAGUGAAACUUGAUAACAAGGGAAGGAUAAUCAGCGCUGAUUGUAAUCAUAAACAUGAGCCUCCUACUUAUUUCAAGACUGCCUCUGGCCAGUUUGUAAAACUUUGUUAUAAAAUAUAAAUGAUUUUGAUCAUUACACAUUGUUUUUCAUUUGUGCAAACAUCUUGUAGGUUCAAACUUAUUAUAUGGAAGAUGACAUAAUCAACCAGGCGUCAAUUUGAUUUUUUUUUUCGAAAUAACAGCACAUGAUAAAAGUUACUGAGAUAUUUGGAGGUCAAGAUUAAUUUAUGAGUAUAACAACAAUAUUUCAAAAUAUAUUAAUUAUAAUAAUCUAGAUAUCUCAGUAACAUGACACAUUGGGGUAACUACCAAGCAUUACAUUUUUUGAUUUGUGUGUUGUCUACCGAUUCAUACCACUUUCAUUGUAUGCUGUAAUUACGAAAAGAAAAAUCAUAAUAUGGAGGCGCGACAAUUAAGCCAGAUUGGUUAAAUUUUUUUUUUCUUUAAAAUUGUUGUUACUUGGCAACUAUUAUUAUUAAGGCAUUAAGACUCGCUAGUAUUUAGUAAUUAUACUUACUUAUAGCAGAAUACAUACUAAACACUAGCAAGUCAGCUAAUGAGGUACUGGUACAUUGUGCUAUGAACAGUGCGAGCAUGUGGAAGUGCAAGCUGUGAACUAUUUGUAUGUCUCAGUACUAGUACAUACCUAAAGCUUUGCAUGUUAGUAAUGUAUAACUGCUGUAAAAGAGCUGAACUCAUCACGAGAUUUGGUGGUUCCAUCCUACACAGUCUUUUUUCUGACUAGUUGGAAUGGAACGGGAAUAUUGGUCAUAUUUACAAAAUAUGACAAAUAUUCUUAUUGUGCAUUUAAUUGCGAAAAGUAACCACGAACUUGUUAUUUUUUAUUCUGUAAUUCUUUUACAAAUUUAAUGAUCUGUUGUUUAAUUUGCUAUUAAAUUUUUUAG